rnacentral:rRNA from 1 species
UGAAGUAAGUAAGGGCGUACGGUGAAUGCCUUGGUGCCAACAGGCGAAGAAGGACGCGGCAAGCUGCGAAAAUCCUCGGGAAGCUGCAAGCAAGCGAUGAUCCGGGGGUAUCCGAAUGGGGUAACCUGAUCGAGGCAAUACUCGAUCGUUCAUACCUGAAUACAUAGGGUAUGAAACGCGAAACCCGCUGAAGUGAAACAUCUCAGUAAGCGGAGGAAAAGAAAGAGAAAUCGAUUCCGUAAGUAGUGGCGAGCGAAAGCGGAUGGAGCCCAAACCGAAGGUACUCCUUCGGGGUUGUAGGACCACGAGAUAUUCGACCAUACUGGAUAGUAGAACAGCCUGGAAAGGCUGGCCGUAGAAGGUGAAAGCCCUGUAGACGAAAUCCAGCGUGGGAAUUAGUGGAAUCCUGAGUAAUACAUCACACGUGGAACGAUGUAUGAAUCAGCGCGGACCACCGCGCAAGGCUAAAUACUAGUUGGCGACCGAUAGUGAACAAGUACCGCGAGGGAAAGGUGAAAAGAACCGCUGUGAGCGGAGUGAAAUAGAACCUGAAACCGUAUGUCUACAAAGUGUCAGAGCAGAGCAAUCUGCGAUGGCGUGCCUUUUGUUUAAUGAGUCUGCGAGUCAGUGUUUGUGGCAAGACUAAGGGCUUCCGGCCCGGAGUCGCAGCGAAAGCAAGUCCGAAUAGGGCGAAUUAAGUCGCAGGUACUGGACCCGAAGCGGAGGUGACCUACCCUUGGCCAGGUUGAAGCAUGGGUAAAACCAUGUGGAGGACCGAACAGGUGAACGUUGAAAAGUUCUCUGAUGAGCUGAGGGUAGGAGUGAAAGGCUAAUCAAACCCCGUGAUAGCUGGUUCUCUUCGAAAUGCAUUUAGGUGCAGCGUCACGUGCUGAUGCGCGGGGGUAGAGCACUGACAAGGCUAGGGGGCACACCCGCUUACCAAACCUUAUCAAACUCCGAAUACCGUGCAAUGGAACGUGGCAGUGAGACAGUGGGGGAUAAGCUUCAUUGUCGAGAGGGAAACAACCCAGACCAGCAGCUAAGGUGCCUAAAUAACGCUCAGUGGAAAGGAUGUGGGAUUACACAGACAGUGAGGAUGUUGGCUUAGAAGCAGCCACCAUUUAAAAAAUGCGUAAUAGCUUACUCAUCGAGUGAUCCUGCGCCGAAAAUGAUUGGCGAUCAAGCGUUAUACCGAAGCUCUGGACUUUACCUUACGGUAGAGUGGUAGAAGAGCGUUGCAUGCGCGUUGAAGGGUGAUGGCGACUGACCCUGGAGCACAUGCAAGUGAGUAUGCAGACAUGAGUAACGUAAAGCCGGGUGAAAUCCCCGGCCGCCGUAAACCCGAGGUUUCCAGGGCAACGUGUUUCGUCCCUGGGUUAGCCGGGACCUAAGCCGAGGCCGAGAGGCGUAGGCGAUGGAUAUCAGGUUAAUAAUCCUGAGCUCGCGACCCUUAAACUGGGGGGACGCAUGAGAAAAGAUGACUAGGUUAUUGAAUUCCGAGUUGAGUCCACGGACUCAGCGCAUCAUUGGAUCGAGUGCCAAGAAAAGCCCCAGCGUAUGCUAAGCGACCCGUACCGCAAACCGACACAGGUGGGUGGGUAGAAUAUACCAAGGCGUAAGAGUGAAACCUGGUUAAGGAACUCGGCAAAUUAGCCCCGUAACUUCGGAAGAAGGGGUGCCUGCAGCGAUGCAGGCCGCAGAGAAAUGGCCCAACCGACUGUUUAUCAAAAACACAGCACUCUGCAAAGACGCAAGUCGAAGUAUAGGGUGUGACACGUGACCAAUGCCGAAAGAUUAAGGCAAGGGGUUAGCCGCAAGGCGAAGCUCUGAACCCAAGUCCCGGUGAAUGUCGGCCGUAACUAUAACGGUCCUAAGGUAGCGAAAUUCCUUGUCGGG